rnacentral:rRNA from 2 species
UUAGGCCGGGAACUCAAAGGAGACUGCCAGUGAUAAACUGGAGGAAGGUGGGGAUGACGUCAAGUCAUCAUGGCCCUUACGACCAGGGCUACACACGUGCUACAAUGGCGCAUACAAAGAGAAGCGACCUCGCGAGAGCAAGCGGACCUCAUAAAGUGCGUCGUAGUCCGGAUUGGAGUCUGCAACUCGACUCCAUGAAGUCGGAAUCGCUAGUAAUCGUGGAUCAGAAUGCCACGGUGAAUACGUUCCCGGGCCUUGUACACACCGCCCGUCACACCAUGGGAGUGGGUUGCAAAAGAAGUAGGUAGCUUAACCUUCGGGAGGGCGCUUACCACUUUGUGAUUCAUGACUGGGGUGAAGUCGUAACAAGGUAACCGUAGGGGAACCUGC